rnacentral:lncRNA from 1 species
AGAAGACCUCUUUUGAAAAUCUCUUGAAGUCUUUGCAGAGUUCUCUAAACAUGACCAGGAGGCCAAUCAUGAGGAGGAGUGAGAUGUUUUGAGGGAAAAUAGUCAAUAUACGUAAACUAAGUUCAAUACCAAUUCUUUGACUUGAAUAACGUUUUAUCAUCCCAGCAUUUUUGUCAGGUUAUCGCCGACCAGACUUCAUCUGGAAGCUCACGAAUGGCUUUGCAGCAUUGGUAAAGUCAGGUUCUCGUGGACUAACAACACUGUUUCUUGAUGUGAUUGUCCUCUGAAACUUCUCCUGAUUAUGCCUCGAGUUUUGAGUUGCCUUCUUUCUCUCACAUGAUCUCAUUCUUUUCAGGAUCAAGAUAUUUUAACUUCUGUGUUUAGCGCCUUUAAUAGAUUGAGCUAAGAAGUCUAAGCAAUCUUCAGGGCUAAGAAACAAGCUGCACUUGCCAGAGUUGGAUGUUCACACCUUGGUGAUGGCUGAUAUUAAACAGAAUUCUUAAUGAACAAAUCGGCCUUGAAAAGGGAACAUGGUGAAGCAAGACAAAAGAAUUACAAACUUUGACUGAAACUUUCUCCUACCAGGAAUACAGGGACCGCUCACCAGGUUGUGAUGAGAAGGAUCAUCUGAAAUGCUCCAUUGCUCUCAGAAGUUGAGGUAACUUCAUUGGGCCCAAACUGAUAAACUAGGAAUGGCUCAGAAAAUAGCCCCUUAGAAGAACUGUAUGAAGCUUGGAUCCAUUUUUCUGUUUCACUGACCCUUCUUAACCGCUAGUGGCUCAGAGGUCUGGUGAGGUGGUGAGAGCUGUCCUAGAUGACAUGCACCUGGAGCCCAAAUGUGGGAGAAAAAAGAAAAAUCCCUCCAAUGAUUUGGUGAGGAGUUGAAGACAAAUAUCUUUAUUAUUUAUAAGUAUUCUGGCCAAGACAAUGAGUGUUGGAGUGGGAGGAUGAGGGAAUUUUAUGAUGAACGACAGCACAGCAAGAUGGACAGUAAGGCUCUGUCAUUGCCAUACCAGAUGUACAGAAGUGGCAUUUCAACUAAGGACACUGAAUAUGAAACAGACCUUGGAAAAGAGAGGAUGGAGUUAACUCUGAGAACAGAAAUCACCUACCUCUCUCCUCCCUAAACACACAGCUUACUGUCUAUAAUAAUAUACCCUUACUGGUCCAUUGUCCUCAUUAACAUAACUACAAUUCCAGGAGACUCUUGCCCAGGCAAAUUGCUUUAUUGUUCAUUACAGAGAGUUUUUGAAACAAAGAACCAUCAAUGCUUCAACAGAAAGCAUCAACAGUUUAUACCCCAAGAUCUUAGAACUCCUCACUUCCAAAUCCUCACUAUGCUAAUCCUAAACUAUUAUGUCAUGAUUUUUACCUAAACAAGACCCUGCAUGGAAAGAUCCUCUUUAUACAAUCUUUCAUUUUUUUGUCCUGGCUUUAAAAUGCAAAGCCCAUAUCCUUGGAAUUCCCUCUGUCUUGGGCAAAGUGUGACAGUUGGCCACCCUACUCCAAAAUCUCAUAAUUUUCCCACCUUGCCCCUCUAGAGACUAUCAAUCUCUGUUGAGGUGGUUCUCUCUUUCCAGGGUGAGCAAUAAACUCCUUGCCAGAGCUUUCCAUUGGGGGAGGAGGGUUUGAACUACUGCCAGAGACAAACAGAUGUAAACUAGAUGCAGGAGUUUGGAAAUUGAGCAGGGUUUGCAGUCUGGAAAAUUGCUCCACAAGAGACUGUCGUUGAACGAGUAGUCCUGAGUGAGUGGUCUAAGAGAACGUCAGAGUGAAAGAAAAUGCAGCCCACCUGGGUCAGCUGAAAAGGUAGAGAAUAAAAGGGAAAUGAAAUGCAGCUGCUAGUAACAGUUGAUUAAAUGAGGCUGGCAACUUACAUGGAGGCUGGAAGAGGAGAAAUGUGGGAGAGGCAGCAAGGAGAGAGAAGGAAACAUGAAGGAGGAGAAGAUUUCUAGAAGGAAAUGUAAGAGCUACAAAGGAGAAAGAUGAAUGAGAGACCCCACAAGAAAACAGCAGGGAAAAGAAGCUGCUUUCUGAGUUGAUGGUUGUUUCUAGUUUGGGGCUAUUAUGAAGAAAGCUGCUAUGAAGAACAUCCAUGUACAAAUCAUUUUAUGGACACACAUACUCAUUGCUCUUGGACUUGGACUAAAUUCUACACCACAGGCUCUCCUGGUUCUCAGGCCAUUGGAUUCAAACCAGAAUUUAUACCAUCAGCUCUCUUGGUUCUCAGGACUUUCAACUUUGACUGAUACUAUACCUUUGGCUCUCCUGGGUCUUCAGUUUUCCAACUGCUUCUCUUGAGCCUCUUAGCCUCCAUAAUCAUGUGAACCAAUUCUUUACAGUACAGUACAAAUCUCUCUCCCUCUCCCUCUCCCCUCCCUCAGCCCCCUAAAUUUGUUAGAACUGAUGAAUAAAAUUCAGUAAAGUAGGUUACAAAAUCAACAUACAAAAUUUAAUAGUGUUUCUAUAUGGUAACAAUGAACUAUCUGAAAAAAAUUAAGAAAACAAUUCCAUUUGCAAUAGCUAUAAAAAAUAAGAUACU